AGAAGGUGGAGAGAAGAGGGGUUGUACGGCGUGACACAUGAAAAGUCCAUGACAGCACUAAUAGCACCAUAGGCAUGGUGAAGGGUAGUCAGCACCAGCGCAGGUAUGGUCAGUGACCACCAUCGCACGCAUGACUAGGGUGCCAGUCACACAAGGACACAGCAGGGUGGUCCAUUCCAAAAAAAAUCUGAGGUGGUUGAAGUUCCACACUGGAAUAUCAAAAUCAUAUCAACAAUAAGAUCUGCAAUAGCCUAUUUUGCAGUGGAAUGUAUUUAACUAUUUAAAAUGUGCAACAAUGAACAAUGAAAGUGAUGAGCAAAAUUAUAGCAGAUAUAAUUUCUAUUAAAUACAUGAUGGCUCAGCUUUUUUUUUUUAAAAGGUAAUGUCAGUUUAAAUGUGAGUUUCCCUAUGAGGUCCACAUGCCAUCCUGCUGUAUAUGAUGCACUGUUGGUGAGAGAAGCACAUGGUCUCUCUGCUACCUUGCACGGCAAAUCUGUGCCAUGAGAAGUCAUCCCUUGACAUUGCAUGUGUUCCCUGCAGGGAAAAAGGCCAGAGGACUUCAAGCCUUCCAGGCAGCUGUUUGCCACUGUAUGCCAUAUGAUAAAUAGAAAUACUGCUGAGAUGAGAUAGCGUGAUGAAGCCUCCAAAUGGUUAGGGCUUAAGCAUUAAAUAUGCACUCCGGCAAAGGAAAUGUGGUCAUACUGCCAAGGCCUGUGAAAACAAUAUAAAGUUGUAUCUCUCUCUCUCUCUCUUUCUCUCUCUCUCUCUCUCUUUCUCUCUCUCUGUUCUGUUUUAUUCAGUUCUGUUACAUCAGAACAAUAGUGGUUUGAGGCAGACACACAAGCCACAGAAAACAUAAUUUGGAAUGAGUUAUCCUCCAAGUGAUCUGUGGAUACACAUUUUUAUCAGAGUUCAGAUUUAACCACACACUAUAGUGCAUGGCCUACUGAACUGCAUAUUUAGUUUGAGAUGAACAGUCAAGCCUCUCCUCUCCUUCUUCUCUCAGUCUGUCUGGUUUCUUUGGUGGAUGUCCUUAAAAGCAGCCUUUAUUCCUCUGCACUCAGCUUUUUUGUCUUAUUUUUCUGAUGAUCCUCUGCAUGAGGGGGAACAUGAUGCCUGAUAAAUUAUUAAACAGAAGGGAGCAGACACACAACCUUUGCAUGCAUGGAGAAAAGGCUAAGGAGGGGUAACGACUGACUGACUUCCUCGAAUCGCUCACUGUCUGCAGCACCAUCCUGAUGACAGAAAAAAAGUCCCUUCACAGCGAGACUUCGAGGAGGGUAAAGGGCAAUGACCAUUCAUGGGUGCAACCUUCUUUGAUCAGCAGCUGUGUAGGAAUCAUGCACUUUGUGGGGAGGCAGCUCAGGGUGAACUAUCAAGCUUCCCCAUGACAGGGAAAGCAUCCAGCACUCUUUGUGCAUUUUGAUAUGAUACAGACUUUAUGCACCCCAUUGUGCUCCAUAGCCUUGUGAGAGACCAUGAGAAUCAAUCAUUCACACAACACGUUCAUACAAAAUAUAAAAAAUGUGGAAUAAACUGGCACUCAGUGACUUAGAGAUCCAGCACGGUACAAGGAAGAGACGGAACAAACUGUCCAGACAGUGAACACACUGGAUUCUCACACUAUGCCUUUGCUCGGCAUCAUUAUGUUUUUUUACAAGGCUAUACACACAUGAGUCCUUUGAUUGCAUGUUUUCUGUUCCCCCAUCCCUACAUUGCUAUGUUGAGGCUAGUACACCAAUAUUCCCCAAAAUGCAUCGCAGAUGCUCUUUUUUCCUCUGAGGAGAUACACUAUGUCCUGUCAGAAACCAGAGCCUUGCUUGACCGCACAUUCUUGGCCUAUGGGGAGACACAUGACCUGUCAAGUCAACAUGAAAAACAAAACACAAAGUUAUAAAAACACACAUAAGAUUGUGACAUUUAGGCAAAGGAGAAAGGGUUAUUUCUCUGUCUGCUCUGUAAAAGGUCACUGUGUUUUUUGGAGUGUGUGAAGAACACGGGAGAUGGAAAAACAAACUUGGUGUGAUCACUCAGAAAGCAAAAACAGCACAGCAGGAAAUCCCACAGAAAAAGGCCGAAGCAAGGGGGAGACAUAGCAGACCUUUUCAAGCCAGAUUUGCUUGAACUCAUCUUUCAUGCUGCCGAGGGGGCAGGAUAACUCUGUGUGUGUGUGUGUGUGUGUGUGUGUGUGGGGGUGGGAGUGGGUAAAGAGAGCACUAGAGAGAGACCAGACGAGAAGGUUUUGAUGAUGGCCUAACAUGUAGCCCUUCCAAAAAUAAAGCUACGCACGAAACGCCAGAGUUUUCUGCUGAGAACACUCUCACAUGAGGAAUAAGUGUGCAAUUUGUGAGUGUGAGUGGGCCCUCAUUCACCUCCCACAGAGUACCACACAAGAUGUGGGACCUACCACACACACACUCAUGCACACACACACACACACAAAUAGUCACGCACACACAAUAUCCUCAGGAAAAUCACAUGACACGUCUGCGUGGAAAAACAGCUGGCAGGAUAAGACAGUGUAAAUAUGCAGUAAUAGAGCUGAACCCUACUCUUACUUAAGAUUAUUACUAGAAGCCCUGCUCUAUGGUACUGAGGAAGAGCAUGAAGCGGACUUGACAAGUUGAUAGCACAUGCAUGACUAAGACUGAAUCCAAGUUUGACAUUGUGAACUUUGUUGUAUAGGUCUUUACGUGAGCCUCUUUGAUUCUGUAGAUGAGCCAUGGAAACACCCUGAGUAAGUGAUGAGUGACACAGCAAGAGUGGGUGUCAAGGGAGGCCAUUGCCGGAACAGUAUGUGCAAGAGUGAGAGAGGUGGGAGGCCAUCAGAAAAGCCCUCUUGGAAAUAGCUCACUCUGUUUCAGCCUUCAGACUGCAACAAGACCAAGAGCAAGCUAAAUGGAAAAGAGACAAAACAAAAGAUCCCACUAUAUCUGGAUCAUGGGGAUCAAGACACCAAUAUCCUCAUACAUCAAUGCAUCAUGACUGAUGUGGCAUUAACAUAUUGUUUAAUUAUCAAAGUGAUAUCAGGUCUUUUUUCCUAGAUGUUAUGAGUGUGGCUUUGGUGGCCCCAAUUCCGUGCUUCCCACAGCUGUGAUACAUAUCUGGGGAAGGGCCAUCUGGGAUGUCUGGAAUAUCAAAUGGAGCAUUUGGAAAGCAUAUGGGGCUUGAUGGGAAUUCCACUUCAAUAUAGGCAUGUGUCAGACACGCAUAUAGUCUAAAGGAGGAACAGAGCUAGGAAUAAGAAGGCUUGGCACCAUUGUUUGGAUUCUGUGGUCACAGACUGAAACAAUUUUGACAUAUUAUUUUGAGGAAACCAAAAUGUAACCAUUUUUUCUCAUAUAGGAGUAGUUUCAUACCUUAGAAAGAUAGAAAGUUCAGAUUUUAGCAACUUAUGCAAAUUAUUUAUGUGGCCUGUUCAAAACACAAUUUAACAAAAAUAUUUCAUUAUCAACAAAUUCUAAGAGUGAUUGACUGGAAUGACUUGAAACAAUAAUAUCAACAACCGAAUCAUCAACAACAGCAUUACCAAAGCCGCCUAAACGAUCUGAUAUUUUGAACAGCAGCCCAUUUAGUGUUCUCCGGGUGAUGGUGGACUUAUUCACUAAAAGUGAUGACAAAUCUCAACUCCAUCAUCACAACACAGACAGAAUAUGUGAUGGUGGGUCUAACUUUCUUCUUGCUGUAGGCUAAAUGAAAAUGAAUACAUAAUGACACUAUCUGACACCAAGGAUUUACGUAUAACCCUUUACAAAACUAUAAUACUUUAAGAUUACUGUAGGCUAGUAUUAUAAUAGAAUAUUAGGCUACAUGAUAUUUUGUAAUACCUCUAUAAUAUAUUUGCCCUGUGUUAGUACUUCUAGCUAGUGUCCCAUGAUGCUCUGACUGUAAGCUAAGAUGCUGUCACAGUUGCUGUCACUGUAUAGUGUGGGACUGCGACCAGUGGCCAUAGGGGAAUAUGGGUUGUUUUGAGUGCGUGAGUGUGUCAACUUGAUAAGUGAGCGCGCAUGUUUCCAUGUGCAUAGGUUUCCCCUGUGAGCGUGCUAGCAUGGAUGCGUGCAGGGAGAAGGGGAUGAGAUAACGUGUUGAAUACAAAAAAUGAUGUGUGUGUGGGGGGGGGUUGCUUGCUGUGUGCAAACGAGGGCCCUCUGUCAUGACAUGGUUUGGUGGUAAGGAGAUGGGAAAGGCUUCCGAAGAACUGUUUGAGCGCGUGAGACUGUCUUCACUGCAAUGUUUACCAGUGGCUCCACAGCUGCAAACCGUGAGUAGUCUAGCUAGUGGCACGAAGAUCAUAAAAAGCGGGAUAGUGUGUCGGAUGGACCGCCGGAAGCUUAUCAGAGAGCGAGAGUCCUCACACCUCACCAUAACAUCUCGCGGCCAGUACAGAUUAGCCUAGAAUUUCAACUAUGUCAACUACAUUUCUUGAAUUUCCCCUGGGGAUCAAUAAAGUAUCUAUCUAUCUAUCUAUCUAUCUAUCUAUCUAUUACACAACCUGGACAACUAUACAAAUAUAGG